rnacentral:rRNA from 1 species
CGGUAAUUCCGGCUCCAAUAGCGUAUAUUAUACUUGUUGCAGUUAAAAAGCUCGUAGUUGAAUUUCUGCGUUAUCGAGUUAUUGACUCUUGUCUUUAAUCGAUUUCGCUUUUGGGAUUUAUCCCUUUUUACUUUGAGAAAAUUAGAGUGUUUCAAGCAGACUUUUGUCUUGAAUACUUCAGCAUGGAAUAAUAGAGUAGGACUUUGGUUCUAUUUUGUUGGUUUUUGAACCUUAGUAAUGGUUAAUAGGAACGGUUGGGGGCAUUCGUAUUUAACUGUCAGAGGUGAAAUUCUUAGAUUUGUUAAAGACGAACUACUGCGAAAGCAUUUGCCAAGGACGUUUCCAUUAAUCAAGAACGAAAGUUAGGGGAUCGAAGACGAUCAGAUACCGUCGUAGUCCUAACCAUAAACUA